CUAAAAACUCUCCAGGAACAGGGUUGUAGUUGAAACCUACAGGAGGGUACCUCUCCAGGAACAGGGUUGUAGUUGAAACCUACAGGAGGGUACCUCUCCAGGAACAGGGUUGGAGUUUAAACCUACAGGAGGGUCUCUCUCCAGGAACAGGGUUGGUGAACCCUGCAUUAUUACAGACACACACAUUAUCACAUUCUUAACCCUGCAUUAUCUGGCUGACACACACAUACACACUGGCCGUAGCAGGUCAAUCUGAUCUCUCACCUCUCUUCCAGAUUUAAUAUUGUAUUGAUCAGUGAUGUCAUGCUCUAAUCCACACGGAACAGGAUUACAACAGUGGUAUUGAUUAUUCCAGCCAGUAGUCUGGGCAUAGAGACAAACUAUUUUCUCUAUAGGCCCUUUUCUAUAGUAGUACCACUAUAUAGGGAAUAGGUUACCAUUUGGGACACAAUCAGUGCAGCAGAGUCAAAUGUAAAGUUUAAGAUGCUCAUCAAUGCUACUAGUGUGAUGAACUGCGAUGAUGGGCAUGUGGUGUAUUGUGAGGGUGGUUCUCUUGUUUUCAUUUAGUUUGUUUCUCUUGACUCCUAAGACGACAUAUUCAGCUGGUCUGGAUGUUGAUACGGUGUCAUUGAAUCAAUCUAAAAAUGUGUGAUGAAUGAAACCACUUUUGAACAGUCAAUGUAAUCUAUUUUCUUACGUCACAAAUAUGCUUAUUCUUUCCAGUUGAAUAUGUGACUUGGAAUGGUAAUCAGUAACACCAUUUUCUUUUGUCUGAAAAAUACAAAUAUAAAAAUUGUCUUUGUCUCUCUCUCUC